rnacentral:lncRNA from 12 species
CCCCCCCCCCCCCCCCCCCCCCCCCCCCCCCCCCCCCCCCCCCCCCCCCCCCCCCCCCCCCCCCCCCCCCCCCCCCCCCCCCCCCCCCCCGGCAGCUCCGCUCGGCCCCGCUCGGCCGGCCGCAGCCUCCGGGCCGCCUCCGGGCCGCGUCCGUGCGGCCGGGCAGCUGCAGGAGCUCGGGGCCGGGGCGCUCCCGCGGGCAUGUCCUAGGGGAGCCCGGGAUCCGCGCCCGCACCGCAGCCGGGGGCGCGGGACAUCCGCAGGUCUCCGUUCUCCGGAGCUUUGGGUGCGUUUGUAUCAGCCCGCCUCCCUCAGCCCCGCUCUCCCGGCAGGUUGUCCCGGAGGAAACGCGCUGCUUUCCGCUCCUCAGCCUCGAGUCCCCUCUUGAGCUCGGUCUGGCUCACCGAGGGCACACAGCACCUUCCUGGGACCCGCUUUUCCUUCUGUCCACCAGAGAGCACCUCUUCCCACGGUGCUCGGGGAAAGGACGCCAGCAGGCAACAUUCGGCUUUCCACUUAGCAUCUGUCUGCUACCCUGAAUGGUCCGUGUAUGUCGCCGUGGGUGCUGCAGGCGGACGGACCGGUGCCGAUCAUCACCCUGCAGCAGAAGCGCAGCCGAGCAUCCUGCUCCCGACGGGCAGGGCUGGGGGCGCCCUUCCACACGCCUCGGCAGCGGCAGCGGCUCCUCCCCGCUCUUGUGCCCUCCAAAACAAGGUGUGCGGUCCGCUCCUGCGGGGACUUGCUCCGGAAAAACACUAUCUUUUGGUUUUCCUAAUUAUUAGGGGGUAAAAAAUGAACAGGAUAAAGUUGUCCUUUAAAUUAUGGGAAGACAGAGAAUUAUCAAUAACUAAGGAGAAAAGCUACGAACUUUUUCAUAGCCAUCUGUCCUGCACAGACACUCUUUAAAUCAAUUAGCUAGUUAAUUAAAUUUCUAUAAAUUUCCAUGGAAUGUUAUUGUCAUUAUUACCUCGAAGCAAGCGCAGGCCCCAAAUUGGACCAACUGUCUUCAAACAGUGAAACAUCUUUGAGGCUUUGUUUCCUUCUUCACUAUUUAAGGGAAAGGAAAUUAUGUGGGGAUUGUUCAAGUAGGGGCGAAUCUGAAGACAGAAUUGGCAACUCUUUUUAGGAAGCACGACAGACAGCAGAAUACCUCCUUCACAUUCAGUAAAUGUUGUAGACGAACAUCUAAAGAAUUCUUCAGUGUCUAACAGCAAGUUCAAUCUACAUUAUUUUCAUCUUUUU